CGUGGUCAGGGAGCCGAGCGCUGGGACUUAGGGGACCGCGGCUUGGAACUCGGGACGGCUGCAAGCCUGCUCAGGCCGCUUGCCUUCCUCCAUCGCCUUCUUUCGCUGUGCGCGGACCACACGGUGGGACUGUAGCGGCGAAAGCGACUGAGGUCUGGGCGCAGUUAUCUGUAACCUCUUGGCGACCCUGACAAGCAGACGCGGGAACACAAGUAAGAAUGGAGGGUGCUCUUCCUCCCGCCCCACCCCGAAGGUAACAAAGGAUCAAGGCUUUCUCCGUGAAAUAGCUGCAGAAUGUACACUGAGCCUGCUGGCAUUUCCCUUAGAGUUUUACUGGCUCAGCUCAAGAACCACCUCCUCCAAGUUGUCUUCCUGGAUUUACUCAGCCUAAAGUAAUCCUUUUUCCUAGAUAUAUACUGAGCAUAUGCUUUGUGUCAGAUGUUGUUAUAGAUGCUGAGGCUUCAUCUGUGAACAAGACCGACCAAGUCUCUGACCUCAUGGAGCUUAUUUCAUAUGUGGGCAACAGAUAAUAAGAUCCCUGAAGACUUCAUUAUGGAUUUUGUCUCUGGGGACACGUGAGUUCCUGGACGACUACACCUCUUCACGGGAAUUCUCGGAUCCUUGAAACAACACUUUAAGGGCUCAGCAGAAUGGACAUAGAAACAGCAGUGGUCGAUGAUUGCAUUGAUCCAAAUUUGGAAGCUGUGUGGCAGUUGUGGAGAUCAGAAGUUUAAAAUAAGCCAUUUUGGGACUUGCCUGGUGGCGCAGUGGUUAAGAAUCUGCCUGCCAAUGCAGGGGACACAUGUUCGAGCCCUGGUCCAGGAAGAUC